UACGUAGGCAGCGAGCGUUGUUCGGAGUUACUGGGCGUAAAGGGUGUGUAGGCGGUCCCUUAAGUUUGGUGUGAAAUCUCCCGGCUCAACUGGGAGGGUGCGCCGGAUACUGAGGGGCUAGAGUGCGGGAGGGGAAAGUGGAAUUCCUGGUGUAGCGGUGAAAUGCGUAGAUAUCAGGAGGGACACCGGUGGUGCAAACGGCUUUCUGGACCGUAACUGACGCUGAGACACGAAAGCGUGGGUAGCAAACAGG
rnacentral:rRNA from 1 species